rnacentral:rRNA from 1 species
AUUGAACGCUGGCGGCAGGCCUAACACAUGCAAGUCGAACGAGUGGCGGACGGGUUAGUAAUGUCUGGUAAACUGCCCGAUGGAUGGGGAUAACUGCUGGAAACGGUAGCUAAUACCGCAUACCAUCGGAUUUGCCCAGAUGGGAUUCGCUAGUAGGUGGGGUAACGGCUCACCUAGGCGACGAUCCCUCGCUGGUCUGAGAGGAUGACAAGACACACUGGAAAUGAGACACGGGCCAGACUCCUACGGGAGGCAGCAGUGGGGAAUAUUGCACAAGGGGCGCAAGCCUGAUGCAGCCAUGCCGCGUGUAUGAAGAAGGCCUUCGGGUUGUAAAGGACUUUCAGCGAGGAGGCGUUACUCGCAGAAGAAGCACCGGCUAACUCCGUGCCAGCAGCCGCGGUAAUUC